CCUACGGGAGGCAGCAGUGGGGAAUAUUGCACAAUGGGGGAAACCCUGAUGCAGCGACGCCGCGUGAGUGAAGAAGUAAUUCGUUACGUAAAGCUCUAUCAGCAGGGAAGAAAAUGACGGUACCUGAGUCAGAAGCCCCGUCUAAAUACGUGCCAGCAGCCGCGGUAAUACGUAGGAGGCAAGCGUUAUCCGGAUUUACUGGGUGUAAAGGGAGCGUAGACGGUGUGCCAAGUCAGGAGUGAAAUGCCGCAGCUUAACUGCGGAACUGCGUUGGAAACUGGCGAACUAGAGUGCGGGAGGGGUAAGCGGAAUUCCUAGUGUAGCGGUGAAAUGCGUAGAUAUUAGGAGGAACACCGAUAGCGAAGGCGGCUUACUAGACCGUAACUGACGUUGAGGCUCGAAAGCGUGGGCAGCAAACAGGAUUAGAUACCCCAGUAGUC
rnacentral:rRNA from 1 species